rnacentral:rRNA from 1 species
GCUCAGGAUGAACGCUGGCGGCGUGCUUAACACAUGCAAGUCGAACGAUGAAGCCCAGCUUGCUGGGUGGAUUAGUGGCGAACGGGUGAGUAACACGUGAGUAACCUGCCCUUGACUCUGGGAUAAGCCUGGGAAACUGGGUCUAAUACCGGAUAGGAACGUCCACCGCAUGGUGGUUGUUGGAAAGAUUUAUCGGUCAUGGAUGGACUCGCGGCCUAUCAGCUUGUUGGUGAGGUAAUGGCUCACCAAGGCGACGACGGGUAGCCGGCCUGAGAGGGUGACCGGCCACACUGGGACUGAGACACGGCCCAGACUCCUACGGGAGGCAGCAGUGGGGAAUAUUGCACAAUGGGCGAAAGCCUGAUGCAGCGACGCCGCGUGAGGGAUGACGGCCUUCGGGUUGUAAACCUCUUUCAGUAGGGAAGAAGCGAAAGUGACGGUACCUGCAGAAGAAGCACCGGCUAACUACGUGCCAGCAGCCGCGGUAAUACGUAGGGUGCGAGCGUUAUCCGGAAUUAUUGGGCGUAAAGAGCUCGUAGGCGGUUUGUCGCGUCUGUCGUGAAAGUCCGGGGCUUAACCCCGGAUCUGCGGUGGGUACGGGCAGACUAGAGUGCAGUAGGGGAGACUGGAAUUCCUGGUGUAGCGGUGGAAUGCGCAGAUAUCAGGAGGAACACCGAUGGCGAAGGCAGGUCUCUGGGCUGUAACUGACGCUGAGGAGCGAAAGCAUGGGGAGCGAACAGGAUUAGAUACCCUGGUAGUCCAUGCCGUAAACGUUGGGCACUAGGUGUGGGGACCAUUCCACGGUUUCCGCGCCGCAGCUAACGCAUUAAGUGCCCCGCCUGGGGAGUACGGCCGCAAGGCUAAAACUCAAAGGAAUUGACGGGGGCCCGCACAAGCGGCGGAGCAUGCGGAUUAAUUCGAUGCAACGCGAAGAACCUUACCAAGGCUUGACAUGUUCUCGAUCGCCGUAGAGAUACGGUUUCCCCUUUGGGGCGGGAUCACAGGUGGUGCAUGGUUGUCGUCAGCUCGUGUCGUGAGAUGUUGGGUUAAGUCCCGCAACGAGCGCAACCCUCGUUCCAUGUUGCCAGCACGUAAUGGUGGGGACUCAUGGGAGACUGCCGGGGUCAACUCGGAGGAAGGUGGGGACGACGUCAAAUCAUCAUGCCCCUUAUGUCUUGGGCUUCACGCAUGCUACAAUGGCCGGUACAAUGGGUUGCGAUACUGUGAGGUGGAGCUAAUCCCAAAAAG